rnacentral:rRNA from 1 species
AGUGAACGCUGGCGGUAGGCCUAACACAUGCAAGUCGAACGGCAGCACAGUAAGAGCUUGCUCUUACGGGUGGCGAGUGGCGGACGGGUGAGGAAUACAUCGGACUCUACUUUUUCGUGGGGGAUAACGUAGGGAAACUUACGCUAAUACCGCAUACGACCUACGGGUGAAAGCAGGGGAUCUUCGGACCUUGCGCGAUUGAAUGAGCCGAUGUCGGAUUAGCUAGUUGGCGGGGUAAAGGCCCACCAAGGCGACGAUCCGUAGCUGGUGUGUGAGGCUGAUCGGCCACACGGGAAGUGGGACACGGACCAGACUCCUACGGGAGGCAGCAGUGGGGAAUAUUGGACAGUGGGCGCAAGCCUGGUCCAACCAGACCGAGUGUGUGAAGAAGGCCUUGGGGUUGUAAAGCCCGUUUGUGGGGAAAGAAAAGCAGCAGGUUAAUACCCCGCUGUUCUGACGGUACCCAAAGAAUAAGCACCGGCUAACUUCGUG